rnacentral:rRNA from 1 species
GCCUACGGGGGGCAGCAGUAGGGAAUUUUCGUCAAUGGGCGCAAGCCUGAACGAGCAAUGCCGCGUGAACGAGGAAGGUCUUCGGAUCGUAAAGUUCUGUUGAAGGGGAAAAAGAGCGGAGAGAGGAAAUGGUCUCCGAUUGAUAUUACCCUUCGAGGAAGUCACGGCUAACUACGUGCCAGCAGCCGCGGUAAUACGUAGGUGGCGAGCGUUAUCCGGAAUGAUUGGGCAUAAAGGGUGCGUAGGCGGCCUGCUAAGUCUGGAGUGAAAGGUACCGGCUCAACCGGUACAGGCUCUGGAAACUG